rnacentral:rRNA from 1 species
UACGAAGGGGGCGAGCGUUGUUCGGAUUUACUGGGCGUAAAGGGCGCGCAGGCGGCGCAUUUUGUCAGGCGUGAAAGCCCCGGGCUUAACCUGGGAACUGCGUUUGAUACGGAUGGGCUAGAGUUCGGGAGAGGAGAGUGGAAUUCCCAGUGUAGAGGUGAAAUGCGUAGAUAUCGGGAGGAACACCUGUGGCGAAAGCGGCGCACUGGACCACAACUGACGCUGAGGCGCGAAAGCUAGGGGAGCAAACAGG